ACGAAACACGGACGCAUCGAUCCUCGGGACAUCGCAGGAACGGUCGCCCACCUGACGUCGAGGGAGUUCGAACUCCCGACGCCGGUGGUCCCGAGGGGAGCGAGUGGCGAGACCGGCCGUGCAGGU
rnacentral:ncRNA from 1 species